GACGAACGCUGGCGGCGUGCUUAACACAUGCAAGUCGAACGGGCCUGUCUUCUUUUUUGGGGGUGGGUUGAGUGGCGAACGGGUGAGUAUCACGUGAGUAACCUGCCCUUCGGUCCUGGAUAACCGCUUGAAAGGGCGGCUAAUACGGGGUGGUCCGGUUGGUCCGCAUGGGCUGGUCGGGAUAGAUUCACUGUUUUUGGUGUUUCGGCGGGGGAUGGGCUCGCGGCCUAUCAGCUUGUUGGUGGGGUGAUGGCCUACCAAGGCGGUGACGGGUAGCCGGCCUGAGAGGGUGGGCGGCCACACUGGGACUGAGAUACGGCCCAGACUCCUGCGGGAGGCAGCAGUGGGGGGUAUUGCACAAUGGGCGGAAGCCUGAUGCAGCGACGUCGCGUGAGGGAUGGAGGCCUUCGGGUUGUGAACCUCUGUUUCCGGUGGUGAAGGCCCUGUCCGUGUGGUGGGGUUGACGGAAGCCGGGGAUGAAGCGCCGGCUAACUACGUG
rnacentral:rRNA from 1 species